rnacentral:tRNA from 1 species
UGGGGUGUAACUCUGUGGUAGAGUACUCACCUAGUGUGCUAAAGGUCCUGGGUUCAAUCCCCAGUACCACAA